rnacentral:rRNA from 1 species
AGAGUUUGAUCCUGGCUCAGGAUGAACGCUGACAGAAUGCUUAACACAUGCAAGUCAACUUGAAUUUGGGUUUUUAACUUAGAUUUGGGUGGCGGACGGGUGAGUAACGCGUAAAGAACUUACCUCACAGUUAGGGACAACAUUUAGAAAUGAAUGCUAAUACCUGAUAUUAUGAUUUUAAGGCAUCUUAGAAUUAUGAAAGCUAUAAGCACUGUGAGAGAGCUUUGCGUCCCAUUAGCUAGUUGGUGGGGUAAAGGCCUACCAAGGCGACGAUCAGUAGCGGGUCUGAGAGGAUGAUCCGCCACACUGGGACUGAGACACGGCCCAGACUCCUACGGGAGGCAGCAGUGGGGAAUUUUGGACAAUGGGCGCAAGCCUGAUCCAGCCAUGCCGCGUGUCUGAAGAAGGCCUUCGGGUUGUAAAGGACUUUUGUCAGGGAAGAAAAGGACAGGGUUAAUACCCCUGUUUGAUGACGGUACCUGAAGAAUAAGCACCGGCUAACUACGUGGCCAGCAGCCGCGGUAAUACGUAGGGUGCGAGCGUUAAUCGGAAUUACUGGGCGUAAAGCGAGCGCAGACGGUUACUUAAGCAGGAUGUGAAAUCCCCGGGCUCAACCUGGGGAACUGCGUUCUGAACUGGGUGACUAGAGUGUGUCAGAGGGAGGUAGAAUUUCCACGUGUAGCAGUGAAAUACAUAGAUAUAACACAGAACACCGAUUGCGAAAGGCAGCUUACUAUCAUACAACUGACGCUGAUGCACGAAAGCGUGGGGAGCAAACAGGAUUAGAUACCCUGGUAGUCCACGCAGUAAACGAUGAUUACUAGCUGUUAGCGAUAUACUGUUAGUGGCCUAAGCGAAAGCGAUAAGUAAUCCACCUGGGGAGUACGUUCGCAAGAAUGAAACUCAAAAGGAAUUGACGGGGGCCCGCACAAGCGGAGGAACAUGUGGUUUAAUUCGAUGAUACGCGAGGAACCUUACCCGGGCUUGAAAUGCUAUCGACCGACGGAGAGAUUCGUUAUCCAGCAAUGGCGAUAGUGUAGGUGCUGCAUGGUUGUCGUCAGCUCGUGCCGUGAGGUGUCGGCUUAAGUGCCAUAACGAGCGCAACCCUUGCCAAUAGUUACCAGCAUUCAGAUGGGGACUCUAUUGGGACUGCCACCGUAAGGUGCGAGGAAGGUGGGGAUGACGUCAAAUCAGCACGGCCCUUACGUCCGGGGCGACACACGUGUUACAAUGGGGAGUACAGAGGGUUGCUACACCGCGAGGUGAUGCUAAUCCCAUAAAACUUUUCUCAGUUCGGAUCGGAGUCUGCAACUCGACUCCGUGAAGCUGGAUUCGCUAGUAAUCGCGCAUCAGCCAUGGCGCGGUGAAUACGUUCUCGGGCCUUGUACACACCGCCCGUCAAGCCAGGGGAGUUGGGGGGACCUGAAGUUCGUGACCGCAAGGAGCGACCUAGGGUAAAACCGAUGACUGGGGCUAAGUCGUAACAAGGUAACC